rnacentral:rRNA from 1 species
UCAGGACGAACGGCUGGCGGCACGCUUAACACAUGCAAGUCGAACGGAGUUAUUGGAGCUUGCUUUGAUAAACUUAAGUGGCGGACGGGUGAGUAACACGUGAGCAAUCUGCCCUUAAGAGGGGGAUAGCAGUUGGAAACGACUGAUAAUACCGCAUAAGAUAGUAGUACCGCAUGGUACAGCUAUAAAAGAUUUAUCGCUUAAGGAUGAGCUCGCGUCUGAUUAGCUAGUUGGUGAGGUAACGGCUCACCAAGGCAACGAUCAGUAGCCGGACUGAGAGGUUGGACGGCCACAUUGGGACUGAGACACGGCCCAGACUCCUACGGGAGGCAGCAGUGGGGAAUAUUGCACAAUGGAGGAAACUCUGAUGCAAGCGAUGCCGCGUGAGGGAAGAAGGUUUUAGGAUUGUAAACCUCUGUUGACAGGGACGAUAAUGACGGUACCUGUUGAGGAAGCUCCGGCUAACUACGUGCCAGCAGCAGC